CAGCGCUGUCUGGACGGCACAGUGACGCUGGACACGGGCUGUGUGACACUGGUGCCUCACAUAUAAACAAAACACUUCUUGCAUGGCUCUGUGGACCUUUAACAACUAACGUAAACAGUCUCAAUGUGGUUAGAGAGCUGAUAAAAGUACCUAAGGUUGAAAGAGGAUGACUCCAUUGAUGAAAAGUUAAGAGUUGAGUCCGCUGAGAGUGACCUGAAGUGAUAAUUGCAUGCUGCAUGUCUGAUAACCACCCAUCACCCACCUGCACUUCCUCUCAGUUCUGAUGCAUGGCCCCCUCUUUAGAUAUGAAUACGUCUCGCCGUUCCUUGCAUGUUGUGCUGUGAGAGUGGCAUCAUGAGGGAAGACAGGGAUAAUCCUCUGACACUGUCAUCCAAGAAACCAUGCCUGGGCCAGGCGGACUAUGGACGAGAGCUGGAGAAGCUGCGUGCUGAUUGGGAUGCAGAGAAGAAGCUAACGCAGCGGGCCCGUGGACACCUCUCUGUGGAGCUGAGGCACCUGCGGCAAGAAGCAGAGAGGGAACAGCAGAGGGCUGUGAGGGAGCUGGCAGCCAGACGAAGGUGCCAAAAGGACGGGCACUCUAACAGAAACCAGCGUCUGCUGGCUAAGGAGGUGAACAUUAACGACAGUGGACGUCACACUGAAGUCGAGUCCACAGAAAAAGAGGCUUUUUGUUUGUGUGGUGGAGAAACUUACACUAAGCUUGAGCAGUUGCUGCUGACGCUAUAUGAGAAGAUAAAUGGUGAGCAGGCAGUCUAUAAAUUGCAUCACAGGCAGGAAUUGGAGCUAGAAAAGGCCAUCUUCCUCUGCCACCUGCUAGAGGCCCAUGGAAGACUGUUGCAGGGAAGGCAAAGAGCAGGAAAGCCCAGCUACAUUUCUAACAGUCUCUCAAGAAAGCCAACUCUGGAAGACGGUAGUAACUCCUGUCAGACAAAGCCUCUUCUAACCUGCUCCAGGGCCUUGCCACAGAGAUCCCAGACUGCUUCCCACUCACCUAAAAAGAAAACCAAACAAGAUCUGAGAGAGCAGCCUUCAGGGAGGGCCGUCUGUGCAGCUGACCCCUGCACCUCCGCUGCAGUUGUGGACACCUGUCAGAGUGGCUCGCUGACAAUUUGUCACCCUCACAACGCUCCCCAUGCAGGCUGGGACGACCAGCCCCCCUACUGCGCCGAGUCCUCUGGGUCAGACAAGUCAUCGCCCUCCAAAUGCAUGGACAGAAACAUGGAGAAUGGUACCGACUAUGGCUUCCUGGUGCGUCAGAACUCUGAGCUCUUGCGAGCCCUCGAUGAGCUGGAGAAGACUUGUACCACACUGAGGGAGGAGAAUGGCCUGCUGGUGAGACUAAAAAUAACAGAGUUUGUAGUCUUGACUGAAGGCUUCCUAGAAAGUAGGCCAGGUGCACAGAAACAGCCAA
rnacentral:lncRNA from 1 species